rnacentral:lncRNA from 1 species
UUGGUUCAUUUUGUGAAUGAACUUCUGAAGGUGUUUCAGGAAAGAACUGUGGAAUUGAUUCCUUUACUUUCUGUGGACUAUGAAGAGCCCCCAAUUGGUCCUUUGAUGGGAUUUGUGGAUGUGCCUUGAAAAACUUCAAAUGGUUUAUAGGUCUCAUUUAUUAAUAAAGAGGCUGUUAGUGUAUUCCAUGUCACCCAUCAUGAGAGGGCUAGAGCUUUGAUGGAGCACUGUGUGUGGUUGUCAGAUUGGACCAGUGAGCAUAGAGACAAUGUCUGUGGCUUUCCGUUUUGUACUCUGCAGGGAAGGAAUCUGUGCGCAGAUGUGACCUUGUUUGUACGGAAGGUGAGAAUUACUACAAGGUAGUCAGACAGGGUUCCCAUAAAGACAAUCAUGAAGUCACAAGUCCCCUUUUCUUUCUCAACAUUGCCUUCUCAGGUCUCCGUUGCUUAGAUAAGAUGGCAUUGAGAAGGGGAAGCUGAACACUGUUCCCUGACUGCAUGGUCUUAGUACAUCAUUGACCUAACAUCAAAGAGACACCCUAUGAAUGUAAUGAAUGUGGGAAAGCCUUGAGCCAUCCGCCAGCUUUCAUUCAGCACCAGCGGAUUCAUACUGGAGAGAUUCUAUGAAUGUACUGAAUGUGGAAAGGCCUUCAACCAGAGCACACAUCUCACUGAACACCAGAGAAUGCAUACUGGAGAGAAACCCUAUGAUUGUAAAGAAUGUGGAAAAACCUUCAGCUGAAGCACACAACUUACUGAACAUCUGAAAAUUCAUUCUGGUGGAAAACUCUAUCAAGGUAACAAAUGCCCAAAAUGGUUUUGCUCUAGAACAUCACUAAUUGGACAUCAAAGGGCUCAUUCAGGAGGAAAAAGCCUGCCAAUGUAAUCAAUAUGGAAAUCAUUCAACCUAAGCUCACCUCUUAUAAAACAUAAAUGGACACAUAGAGGGAAGAAAUCUUAUCAAUGUAGUAAAUGUGAUGAUGUUUUUCUAUCAUAAUACAUCUUUA